GCGGUGGAAGUGGACAGAAUCCUUGCUGAGUGUGUCAGCAGCACUGAUAUGUCACUGAACAGGACUUCUUAUAAGAUGCCAAUGUUUGGAUCGAACUCUUUAGGGCUUUACUAUGCCAAAGGCCAAGACAGCAACAACGUCUACAGUGGCAGUACACGUGACAACAAUUAAAUUAACACAGUGAACAAACCAACCUCCAAUCAUGAAAAGGUCAGGCCUCCACAGGACCUGCUGAGCUGUGCCAACAUAGAGAACACAGCAACAGCUUCGGGUUCUGGAAUUGGUGGUGGUUCAUCUGUGGCCUUGCCUAUCAUGUAUGAUGCUUCAGAAGAUGA